AAAAAAACAGAGAUAUCGCUAGAUGUUAAAGUUUAUGAUAUUGAGAAGGAGAAAGAGAAACUCUAGCGCUCUAAAGUUAUAAAGCAAAGUUUGAAAGUCUAUGAAAUAGAUCAAAGCAGAAAUGGAGAUCUGAAUCACACAUGACUAAGGUAAACAUAUGUAUAAACCAAAUCAUGAUGAAACCGUAAUGUUCUUUGAGAAGGAGAACCAAUGCCAAUGUUUUGUUCGAGUUUGCUAGUUAUAGGGAUACCGAAUAAAAAAGAGGAAUUGAAACUAAAGCCAAGAAAAUAAAAAGUGAGAGACAUGAAUACCGUAAAUACGAGACUUAGGGGAUCAAUGAUACGAAGGUUGUAUGGCGAUGUGGUUCGCAUCAAAAUAAGGAAG
rnacentral:lncRNA from 1 species